CCGCGGCACCGGAAGUGUCCCACCUCCUCUUCCUCCUCCUCCUCCUCCUCCUCCUCCUCCUCCUCCUCCUCCUCCUCCUCCUCCUCCUCCUCCUCAGCACGAAAGCUCCGCGAGUGAAUAGGAAGGACUGCGCUGCUGAGGAGUAAGAGAAGACCUGGAAUUGCGCGCGAGUUUCUAAUCCGGAUCUUUUUCAGGAUUGUCCAACAGGGCCUGAGCGGCUAGACCCACUUUGAAGACCUUCAACUUUAUUGGUUCCCAGCUGAGCAAACGGACACGGACUCCAACCUCUGCGGCUGCGCAGACUCUCACAAGCAAGUAGUAAACUCGGUGUUGAGCCAGGCAGAGCGGCACAGGCUUCUAAUUUCAAUAUUCGGGAAGCCGAGGCAAGGAAAGCUGCUGAGAGUUCAAAGGCAGCUGGGCCAAGUAGCAACAUGGUGUCUCAAAACAAAAAAAGUUUGGGUUUGUCACGUUCCAGGCUGGGAACCGCAACAUUGUGUGUACAGGCACUCAGUGCACGUGUGGCACCAUAUGUCCAGAGGUGUUGGUUCUCUCCUUCCAUCAUGUGGCUUCCGAGGAUUGAACUCAGAUGAGUUCGAGCUUAUAGAAACGUCCAACUACAGCCUGAAUGUAUGUCUGUGAACCAAGCAGUCAGUGCUCAAAGAUGCCAGACGUCAGCCAAUCCCCUGGAACUGGACUUACAGACACUUGUUAGUCACAAUGUCGGUGCUAGCAGUGGAACCCUAGUCCUCUGGAAGAAAAGCAAGUUCACAUAAGCACUGAGGCAUGUCUUCAGCUCCCAGGUUUGUUUGUUUGGGUUUUUGUUUGUUUGUUUUUUGUUUUUCAAGACAGGGUUUCUCUGUGUAACAGCCCUGGCUUUCCUGGAACUCUUUGUAGACCAGGCUGGCCUCAUACUCACAGCAAUCUGCCUGCCUCUGCCUCCCAAGCGCUGGGAUUACAAGUAUGUGCCACCACCAUCUAGCUCCCAGGUUUGUUUUUAAUCAAAUCUCUUCUGAUAAUCAUUUGUAACCAUUUUAUUAAGCACUAGCUAUUUACAGUGGAGGUACUAGGAAUACAAAAACUGGCAAAAUAUGCUACCUUAUGACACUAUGGAGAAUAAUUGGCUAAGCAUGCUUAUUUGACUGCCUUUGACUUUUAAAAACUUUUUUCUUUAACUUUCUUUUUUAAAGUGUGUGGUGUUUUGCCUGCAAAUAUGUAUGGGUACCAUUUGCAUGCAGUGCCUUCAGAGACCAGAAGAAGGCAUUGGAUCCCCUGGAACUGGAGUUACAGAUGGUUGUGAGCCUCCAUGUGGGUGCUGGAAAUAGAACCCAGGUCUUCUGGAAGAGCAGUCCGUGCUUUUAACCCCUGAGUCAUCUCUCCAGCCCCCCCCCCCCACCCUUUUGCUUUUUAAGCAGAGCAAGCCAUCUACUGUCUUGGGCUUUUUUGAUCCCUGGUAAAACUUCCAACAUUUACUAUUUUCGUUUCUGUGUGAGUUCCUCAGCCUGGACUCUGCUGGUGUUCAGGUGUUUCCUCAUACCUUCAAAGUGCUUAGAACUGCUUUUAAUCGAUAUGGUUUACUUCCUGUCUCCUCCCCCCCCCCAAACACACACACUUCCCAUGCAAGGUACAGACUCACCUGUAUCUCUAAGGCUUAGUACAGUUCUUCACAUACCGUAACUGACAUAGGCAUAUCAGACAGUUGAUUAGAUAGAGGCACGUACAAGGUACAGUGGGAGCGU